rnacentral:lncRNA from 1 species
CUUUGAGAGGACUAUUCCUAAAAGCCAAAUUUAACAACACAUCCAGCCUCAGACUCAGUAAACCAUCAGAGUUGAUCUUCUAUUAUUCUCAUUUUAUAUGCUUGGAAAUUAAUACUGAAAAUUUGGACUGGGUAUCCAAGGCAAGACACCUAACUAGAUGCCACCAGGAAGAACAUCUCCCACAAAAACAGACCAAAAUAUCCAGUAAAUCAGCAUACUCAGAACAGAUCAUCUGAAGGAAUGAACUAAAAGAGAUUAGAAAGACAACCCAGACACCAGGAUGAAAGGGAGAGGAAGCUGGGAAUCCUUCUUGGGGUUGCUGAAUAUGGGACAUGUUCCAGGCCCUGAAUGGCUCUGAGUUACGUCCCUGGACUUUGGGACUCAUUCUGCUCGACUUGAUCCCUGCUCUGCCCAUUGAUCACAUACACACGUUUACACCUGGCAGAAGAGGAAGAGGAGGCAUGAAGGAAUGGCCUCUUCAGAAUGGAGAAAAGCCUUCCCCAUGAGAACAUGCCUAAGACAGACUGCUGAAGAAGGCGGCAAAUGGAACAGCGCUGAAUCAGCCUGGUCAUCCCAGUCAAGCCUCCAGACAUGUAAGCACCCUCCUCUGAUCUGCAGAGCUGCCUGGCCCAAAUACUGUUGACCACUCUUGAGUAAGCCCCACCAAGAUCAGCUGAGAACAGUAGAACUGACCAGAUGACUCUAACCUCAUGAAUAAAUCCAAGUGUUUUUUUAUUUGCCUCUGA